rnacentral:rRNA from 1 species
CCUACGGGUGGCAGCAGUGAGGAAUAUUGGUCAAUGGGCGCGAGCCUGAACCAGCCAAGUCGCGUGAGGGAAGACGGUCCUAUGGAUUGUAAACCUCUUUUGUCGGGGAGCAAAGGACGCCACGCGUGGCGUUCCGCGAGUACCCUAUGAACAAGCAUCGGCUAACUCCGUGCCAGCAGCCGCGGUAAUACGGAAGGUCCGUGCGUUAUCCGGAUUUAUUGGGUUUAAAGGGAGCGUAGGCCGCAUGUCAAGCGUGCUGUGAAAUGUCCGGGCUCAACCCGGGCCUUGCAGGGCGAACUGGCGGGCUUGAGUCCGCGGAAAGCAGGCGGAAUUCGUCGUGUAGCGGUGAAAUGCUUAGAUAUGACGAAGAACCCCGAUUGCGAAGGCAGCUUGCUGCAGCGGAACUGACGCUGAUGCUCGAAAGCGCGGGUAUCGAACAGGAUUAGAUACCCCGGUAGUC